UACGGAGGGUGCAAGCGUUAUCCGGAUUCACUGGGUUUAAAGGGUGCGUAGGCGGGCAAGUAAGUCAGUGGUGAAAUCUCCGGGCUUAACCCGGGAACUGCCAUUGAUACUAUUUGUCUUGAAUACUGUGGAGGUCAGCGGAAUAUGUCAUGUAGCGGUGAAAUGCUUAGAUAUGACAUAGAACACCAAUUGCGAAGGCAGCUGGCUACACAAAUAUUGACACUGAGGCACGAAAGCGUGGGGAUCAAACAGG
rnacentral:rRNA from 1 species